rnacentral:rRNA from 1 species
GCCAGCCCGCUCAGAAACUUAAGGAAUGACGGGGCCCGCACAAGCGGAGGAACAUGUGGUUUAAUUCGAUGAUACGCGAGGAACCUUACCUGGGCUAGAACGCAUUCGGAAUCAGGCCGAAAGGCCUGCGCCAGCGAUGGCCGCUUGCGAGGUGCUGCAUGGUUGUCGUCAGCUCGUGCCGUGAGGUGUCGGGUUAAGUCCCAUAACGAGCGCAACCCCUACUGCUAGUUGCCAGCGGGUCAUGCCGGGGACUCUAGCGGAACUGCCAGCGUAAGCUGCGAGGAAGGUGGGGAUGACGUCAAGUCAUCAUGGCCCUUACGGCCUGGGCUACACACGUGCUACAAUGGUCGGUACAAAGGGUUGCCAAGCCGCGAGGUGGAGCUAAUCCCAUAAAACCGAUCGUAGUCCGGAUCGCAGUCUGCAACUCGACUGCGUGAAGUCGGAAUCGCUAGUAAUCGUGAAUCAGAAUGUCACGGUGAAUACGUUCCCGGGCCUU